GCAGCGAGUGUGGCAGAGUCUUCAGCCAGAACCACUGUCUCAUUAAACAUUAGAAAAUCCACUCCGGGGAGAAGUCGUUUAAGUGUGAGGCAUGUGGGGAGAUGUUCAACUGGAGCUCGCACCUCACUGAGCACCAGAGGCUGCACAGCGAGGGGAAGCCCUUGGCCAUCCAGUUCAAAAAACACUUGCUCAGCACAUACUACGUGCCUGGCAGCCUGCUGGGUGCAGGGGAUGCUGGACUGAGGGAUGUGGACCCCAUCAAUGCGCUGGAUAUGGCAAAGCUCUUGUGCAUGGGUCCCCCCCGAGCUGGCAGGGAUUUCUCCCUGGGGAGCAAACCUCAAAACUAGCAUGAUGUGCUUUGGUGUCAGUAGCUGCUUUCUGAGCUACACAACAAGGAAAGCACCCUGAUCCUCCCUGGCUCCUAGAUCCAGACCACCUUCCUCCAGUUUCUGCAUGGUCUACAUUUGGGGAAGUGCAGCGUUCUAAAGAAUGGACAGCUCUGCAAGACUGCAAAAGACACUCAAGAGAGGAAUCACUAGGUGAAAGCCAUCCCCUGCCAUCCCCAGGGAAAGUGGGAGGAAGCUGGAUAUCUCACUACCAAUUUUAUUUGAAGGACAAGAUAGCUGGCAUCUGAGCUGCUGAUUGACUAUACUUUUUAAACUAAAGAUAUUCUGGAAUAUUCUUCUUCAGUGACAUUUUAGAAUCCAAAAGACAUUUUACCAAAAGCAGUAGAGGUGGUCCUGAAAAAUUUUAUGCAGAUUAUAAUUUUGUAAACCAAAUCACAGAUGUCAAUUUCAUGCAUGACGAUUGCAGUGUUAUUUUAUCUUAAUGUUUUUCUGCUCUUUAAUUAUUUGCCUUUUAUUUUCUUUUGCUGAAUAAAUCUUUUUAGCUAAGUGGCA